rnacentral:rRNA from 1 species
UCCGUAGGUGAACCUGCGGAAGGAUCAUUAGUGAAUGGGCCGAAAGGUCCUUAACACAUCCAACACCUCUGUGAACUUGUCGGGCCUCCGGGCCUGUUUUUUACAAACACCUGUGUAAUGAACGUCAUGUAUCUUAAUACAAACAAAACUUUUAACAACGGAUCUCUUGGCUCUCGCAUCGAUGAAGAACGCAGCGAAAUGCGAUAAGUAAUGUGAAUUGCAGAAUUCAGUGAAUCAUCGAAUCUUUGAACGCACCUUGCGCCCUUUGGUAUUCCGAAGGGCAUGCCUGUUUGAGUGUCAUGAAAACCUCAACCCCUCGGGUUUUGUAACCUGGGUGGGUUUGGACUUGGGUGUCUGCCGGACUUUGGUCUGGCUCACCUCAAAUGAGUUAGUGGGACAGCGAACCCAUGGCUUGACGUAAUAAGUUUCGUCUGAGCCUGGUCGUGGUGCCUGCUUACAACAACCAUAUCUUAUGACUCUGACCUCAAAUCAGGUAGGGCUACCCGCUGAACUUAAGCAUAUCAAUAAGCGGAGGA